rnacentral:rRNA from 1 species
UGCAGUCGAACGCGAACGUUCCCUUCGGGGAACUAUUAGAGUGGCGAAAGGGCGAGCAAUACAUGGGCAACGUACCCCGGGCACAGGGAUAGCUGUGGGAAACUGCAGGUAAUACCUGAUGAUGCCGACGCAUCUUAAGAUGUAUCGGUCAAAUGGUGGGGCUCCCUUCGGGGACCUACCGGCCUAAGAGCGGCCCAUGUCCUAUCAGCUUGUUGGUGAGGUAACGGCUCACCAAGGCUUUGACGGGUACCGGGACUGAGAGGUUGACCCGGCGCAUUGGGACUGAGACACUGCCCAGACUCCUACGGGAGGCUGCAGUAACGAAUAUUCCGCAAUGGGCGAAAGCCUGACGGAGCGACGCCGCGUGUGGGAAUAAGCCCUUCGGGGUGUAAACCACUGUCAGGGACUACCAAGCAAUGGGGUUUAAUAUACCCCGGCGUUGAGGAAUCCCGAAGGAAGCCACGGCUAACUUCGUGCCAGCAGCCGCGGUAAGACGAAGGUGGCUAGCGUUGUUCGGAAUCAUUGGGCUUAAAGAGCAUGUAGGCGGCCCGACAAGCGUCGUGUGAAAUCCCUCGGCCCAACCGAGGAACUGCACGGCGAACUGUCAGGCUUGAGGCAAGUAGGGGCGUGUGGAACUCUUGGUGGAGCGGUGGAAUGCGCAGAUAUCAAGAGGAA